CUUUCUUCAUGGAGAAGGAUGUGUGCAUUGCAAUCCAAGCACAAUCAAAGGUGUGGUGGAGCAUCAAUAAUGUAGUGUUACUGGAGGUAUAAUUUUGACUUAGGAGAAUUGGCUAUGGUUUGGAGUGGAGGCAAUUGUGAAUUGGUGCAAUAGAAGAUGUGAGGUAGGAUUGUAGAAAUGAUACAAUGAGCAAAGGAUGAUGAGUAAGGUGGUUGUGGCACCUAUAUAAAAAUUAGUAGAGGGCGUGGUUGUGGACAAGGAGAAAGAAAAUAGGAUGGAGAUUGAGCAAAGUUUAGAGGAAUUGAUGGAGGAGAUUGGAACAAUAAAGAAGGAAGGAAAUUAUUGCAUAAAAUGCUUGAAAUGGCAAGAGUAAUUUUGGCCAAGUUAGAAGAAUAUAAGUUGUUUGUUAAUAUGUCUUAAUUCUCUUCUAAAUGAUUUUGUAUGGAUAAUAAUACUUGGAUGAAGUUUCUAUCUUAACAAGUUUGUUGAUUGUAUUGGUUUUGUUUAUUUUAAUUAAUUCACAAUCAUUUG
rnacentral:lncRNA from 1 species